rfam:Schistosoma haematobium scaffold687_30, whole genome shotgun sequence.
ACCCAGCUGACAAGUCCCAGAUAGAACGAAACACGCGUCCUAGAU